AAUGAACGUUGGCGGCGUGGAUUAGGCAUGCAAGUCGUACGCUCCGCAAGGGGCGUGGCGCAAGGGUGAGUAAGGCGACGGCAACCAACCCGGCAGCCGGACAUAGCCGUGGGAAACCGCGGGUAAUAUCCGGCGCCGGCGCUGGGGGGCAUCCCCCGGCGACGAAAGGUGCGAUUCCGCUCCUCGACGGGCCGUCUUGGUAUUAGGUGGUUGGCGGGGUAACGGCCCACCAAGCCUGCGAUGCCUACCGGGCGUGCGGGCGUGGCCCGGCACACUGGGACUGAGACACUGCCCAGACACCUACGGGUGGCUGCAGUCGAGAAUCUUCGGCAAUGGGCGAAAGCCUGACCGAGCGACGCCGCGUGGAGGAUGAAGGCCCUCGGGUUGUAAACUCCUGUCGAGGGGGAACAAGGUGCCGUGCAGAGCGGUGCUUGAGUGAUCCCUGGAGGAAGCACGGGCUAAGUUCGUGCCAGCAGCCGCGGUAAGAC
rnacentral:rRNA from 1 species